GAGGAACGCGGGCGGCAUGCUUAACACAUGCAAGUCGAACGGGAAGUGGUGUUUCCAGUGGCGAACGGGUGAGUAACGCGUAAGAACCUGCCCUUGGGAGGGGAACAACAACUGGAAACGGUUGCUAAUACCCCGUAGGCUGAGGAGCAAAAGGAGAAAUCCGCCCAAGGAGGGGCUCGCGUCUGAUUAGCUAGUUGGUGAGGUAAUAGCUUACCAAGGCGAUGAUCAGUAGCUGGUCCGAGAGGAUGAUCAGCCACACUGGGACUGAGACACGGCCCAGACUCCUACGGGAGGCAGCAGUGGGGAAUUUUCCGCAAUGGGCGAAAGCCUGACGGAGCAAUGCCGCGUGGAGGUGGAAGGCCUACGGGUCGUCAACUUCUUUUCUCGGAGAAGAAACAAUGACGGUAUCUGAGGAAUAAGCAUCGGCUAACUCUGUG
rnacentral:rRNA from 1 species